rnacentral:rRNA from 1 species
GUAGGGAAUAUUGGGCAAUGGUCGGAAGACUGACCCAGCCAUGCCGCGUGCAGGAAGACGGCCCUCUGGGUUGUAAACUGCUUUUAUCUGGGAAGAAAAAGGCCAUGCGUGGCAAAUUGCCGGUACCAGAUGAAUAAGCACCGGCUAACUCCGUGCCAGCAGCCGCGGUAAUACGGAGGGUGCGAGCGUUGUCCGGAUUUAUGGGGUUUAAAGGGUGCGUAGGCGGCUGAUUAAGUCAGCGGUGAAAGACUUCGGCUUAACCGGAGCAGUGCCGUUGAUACUGGUUGGCUUGAGUGUCGGAGGGGUACAUGGAAUUGAUGGUGUAGCGGUGAAAUGCAUAGAUACCAUCAGGAACACCGAUAGCGAAGGCAUUGUACUGGCCGACAACUGACGCUGAUGCACGAAUGUGUGGGGAUCGAACAGGAUUAGAUACCCGAGUAGUCC